UACAUGUACAGCACAGGAUCUUU
rnacentral:piRNA from 1 species